rnacentral:rRNA from 1 species
GCAUAUCAAUAAGCGGAGGAAAAGAAACCAACCGGGAUUGCCUCAGUAACGGCGAGUGAAGCGGCAAGAGCUCAAAUUUGAAAUCUGGCCCCUCCGGGGUCCGAGUUGUAAUUUGUAGAGGAUGCUUCGGGUGCGGCCCCCGUCUAAGUGCCCUGGAACGGGCCAUCGGAGAGGGUGAGAAUCCCGUCUGGGACGGGGUGUCCGCGUCCAUGUGAAGCUCCUUCGACGAGUCGAGUUGUUUGGGAAUGCAGCUCUAAAUGGGUGGUAAAUUUCAUCUAAAGCUAAAUACUGGCCGGAGACCGAUAGCGCACAAGUAGAGUGAUCGAAAGAUGAAAAGCACUUUGAAAAGAGAGUUAAACAGCACGUGAAAUUGUUGAAAGGGAAGCGCUUGCGACCAGACUCGCUUCCGGGGUUCAGCCGGCUUUCGGGCCGGUGUACUUCCCCGGGGGCGGGCCAGCGUCGGUUUGGGCGGCCGGUCAAAGGCCCCUGGAAUGUAACGCCUCUCGGGGCGCCUUAUAGCCAGGGGUGUCAUGCGGCCAGCCUGGACCGAGGAACGCGCUUCGGCACGGACGCUGGCAUAAUGGUCGUAAACGACCCGUCUUGAAACACGGACCAAGGAGUCUAACAUCUACGCGAGUGUUCGGGUGUCAAACCCGUGCGCGCAGUGAAAGCGAACGGAGGUGGGAGCCCCCUCGAGGGGCGCACCAUCGACCGAUCCUGAUGUCUUCGGAUGGAUUUGAGUAAGAGCGUAGCUGUGGGGACCCGAAAGAUGGUGAACUAUGCCUGAAUAGGGCGAAGCCAGAGGAAACUCUGGUGGAGGCUCGCAGCGGUUCUGACGUGCAAAUCGAUCGUCAAAUUUGGGGUAUAGGGGCGAAAGACUAAUCGAACCAUCUGGUAGCUGGUUCCUGCCGAAG